rnacentral:rRNA from 1 species
UACAGGGGUCCCGAGCGUUGUUCGGAUUCAUUGGGCGUAAAGGGUGCGUAGGCGGCUUCCUAAGUUUGAUGUGAAAUCCUGGGGCUCAACCCUGGAACUGCAUUGAAUACUGGGAGGCUAGAGUACUGGAGAGGAAACUGGAAUUUACGGUGUAGCAGUGAAAUGCGUAGAGAUCGUAAGGAAGACCAGUGGCGAAGGCGAGUUUCUGGACAGUUACUGACGCUGAGGCACGAAGGCCAGGGGAGCAAACGGG